rnacentral:rRNA from 1 species
CCUACGGGAGGCAGCAGUGGGGAAUAUUGCACAAUGGGCGAAAGCCUGAUGCAGCGACGCCGCGUGAGGGAUGACGGCCUUCGGGUUGUAAACCUCUUUCAGCAGGGAAGAAGCGAAAAUGACGGUACCUGCAGAAGAAGCGCCGGCUAACUACGUGCCAGCAGCCGCGGUAAUACGUAGGGCGCAAGCGUUGUCCGGAAUUAUUGGGCGUAAAGAGCUCGUAGGCGGCUUGUCACGUCGGUUGUGAAAGCCCGGGGCUUAACCCCGGGUCUGCAGUCGAUACGGGCAGGCUAGAGUGUGGUAGGGGAGAUCGGAAUUCCUGGUGUAGCGGUGAAAUGCGCAGAUAUCAGGAGGAACACCGGUGGCGAAGGCGGAUCUCUGGGCCAUUACUGACGCUGAGGAGCGAAAGCGUGGGGAGCGAACAGGAUUAGAUACCCUGGUAGUCCACGCCGUAAACGGUGGGAACUAGGUGUUGGCGACAUUCCACGUCGUCGGUGCCGCAGCUAACGCAUUAAGUUCCCCGCCUGGGGAGUACGGCCGCAAGGCUAAAACUCAAAGGAAUUGACGG